UGGUGAGUUCCGUUUCUGCCUUUGCAGUCAUCUGACACAUACUCCCUCUGCAUUACAAUCGUAACUGAUUUCGGAAAAACUUUGUACACAAGUUAAUUGGUGACUACUACUCCACUCUCUUAGGAUCAGCACAGUGUAGAUUGGGUUUCAGUUUCACUCCUUACGCUCAUUGUCAGAAAAACAGAAAAAAGGAAACGCUCAUGUUGACGCCAUUGGAUGUCUAGGUAUGGUGCUGACCGACCCAAAUUCUUGGGCCCCUUCUCUGGCGAGACUCCCUCCUACCUCAACGGUGAGUUCGCUGGUGAUUACGGCUGGGACACUGCUGGACUCUCAUCCGACCCCGAGACCUUCGCCCGCAACCGCGAGCUCGAGGUGAUCCACGCUCGAUGGGCCAUGCUUGGAGCUCUGGGAUGUCUGACCCCAGAGUUGUUGGCCAAGAGCGGUGUUAAGUUCGGUGAGGCCGUUUGGUUCAAGGCCGGAGCUCAGAUCUUCAGCGAGGGAGGUUUGGACUACUUGGGCAACCCCAGCCUUGUGCACGCUCAGAGCAUCUUGGCUAUCUGGGCUUGCCAAGUUAUCCUGAUGGGAGCCGUCGAGGGUUACCGUGUUGCUGGUGGACCCCUCGGUGACGUUACUGACCCCAUCUACCCGGGAGGCUCCUUCGACCCCUUGGGUUUGGCUGACGACCCCGACACCUUCGCUGAGUUGAAGGUGAAGGAGAUCAAGAACGGCCGAUUGGCCAUGUUCUCAAUGUUCGGGUUCUUCGUCCAGGCCAUCGUGACUGGAAAGGGACCCCUGGAGAACUUGAACGACCACUUGGCCGACCCCGUUGCCAACAACGCCUGGGCCUACGCCACCAACUUCGUUCCCGGAAACUAACUUCUCAAUUUGACGAAAUGAAGUCGAAAUGUGUACUAUAAUGUGCAGUUCACUAUCCUCUUGCUCCUACUUCGGCUGAUAAUAAAAAUCGAUUUCUG
rnacentral:lncRNA from 1 species